GCUGCGGUCGUCCAGGUAACCGAGACCACUGAAAGCGCAGAACUGAAGGUCAAGGGAGACUACUGUAUAUUGUUCCGCCUUUGAAGAAGUUGUUUAACAUCAGCGAGUCUCUUGUUAACUAGCUUGUGCCCUUUUCCUCGUGGAUUUGAAGAAACGAAAUUCCAAUGGGAAUCCAGAAAUGGAAAAAAAAAAGGGACGGUCAACCUGCACCUGGCUGGGACACUAUGAAAACCCUGAAGAGCACUAAGAAGACAGUGUCGCUGCACUUCGAGGGAAAAUGGCAAACGCCUGCCAAUACUGUUUCUACUGAAGCUCCGGACCCCGAUCUCAAAUAACCAACUACUGGGCGUGCGGUCACUGUGUUGCCGUCCACGGCCAUGCUCUGACCUUGUGGGUAAGUCUCGGCCUCUACUCUACUCUGUAAACAAGCUUACUCCAUUUGGACCCCAAUACGGGCUCCAGAACCCCAGCUUUGACAACGGGUAAUUAGCA